rnacentral:rRNA from 1 species
CCUACCCAUAACAGGAGGAUAGNNCCCCGAAAGGGGAAUUAACCCUCCAUAGUAAUAUUGAAUGGCAUCAUUUGAUAUUUAAAANNCCGGUGGUUAUGGAUGGGCAUGCGUCUGAUUAGUUAGUUGGCGGGGUAACGGCCCACCAAGACGAUGAUCAGUAGGGGAACUGAGAGGUUGAUCCCCCACACUGGCACUGAGAUACGGGCCAGACUCCUACGGGAGGCAGCAGUAGGGAAUAUUGGUCAAUGGAUGGAAGUCUGAGCCAGCCAUGCCGCGUGCAGGAAGAAGGCCUUAUGGGUUGUAAACUGCUUUUGCCAGGGGAUAAAAUAGCUGUGCGCAGCGAAUUGCAGGUACCUGGUGAAUAAGCCACGGCUAACUACGUGCCAGCAGCCGCGGUAAUACGUAGGUGGCAAGCGUUGUCCGGAUUUAUUGGGUUUAAAGGGUGCGUAGGCGGCCCUGUAAGUCAGUGGUGAAAUACUCCAGCUUAACUGGAGGGGUGCCAUUGAUACUGCAGGGCUUGAGUGGAGUAGAAGUAGGCGGAACUGACGGUGUAGCGGUGAAAUGCUUAGAUAUCGUCAAGAACACCGAUAGUGAAGACAGCUUACUAUGCUUCAACUGACGCUGAGGCACGAAAGUGUGGGGAUCAAACAGGAUUAGAUACCCUGGUAGUCCACACUGUAAACGUUGAUGACUCGCUGUUGGCGAUACACUGCCAGCGGCCAAGCGCAAGCGAUAAGUCAUCCACCUGGGG